GGUCUAUGAUGAGAUUUACGUAUUGUAUUCCCUGAAUCUAAUGGUGAUGAUUAUCACAACUUUAGCUCUAGAAUUACUCUGAGGCCUG
rnacentral:snoRNA from 1 species